rnacentral:lncRNA from 1 species
GGGGGAUAAUUCAUGUGAUAUAAUUUUGGUAAGUUUACAGAAAUAGAAGGUCCAUAUAUCAUGCAUUAAUCGAGUAAAAAUGGAACAAUUUCAGAAAACUUUAAUGAUUGGUUUAGGAGGUGUUGGAAAUACCUGAUGGGUGCCCCCAUAUAAUGCAAUGUUCAAGUCCGUAUCUUAUAUAAAGUAACCCCAUAAAAGAUUUUUUACUAAAAUUCGAAAUGGACGGUGC